UACAGAGGGGGCAAGCGUUGUUCGGAAUUACUGGGCGUAAAGGGCGCGUAGGCGGCCUUCUAAGUCGAACGUGAAAUCCCCGGGCUCAACCCGGGAACUGCGUCCGAUACUGGAAGGCUUGAAUCCGGGAGAGGGAUGCGGAAUUCCAGGUGUAGCGGUGAAAUGCGUAGAUAUCUGGAGGAACACCGGUGGCGAAGACGGCAUCCUGGACCGGUAUUGACGCUGAGGCGCGAAAGCCAGGGGAGCAAACGGG
rnacentral:rRNA from 1 species